GCCGGCGGCAACAGCGUCGUGAGCGGCCUUGACGCGGGCCUCCUCACCAGGGCUGGUGUGACGGAGGAGCAGGCGGCCACCGCGUUCCGGAGCCAGACGGCCGUCCUCCUCACCAGGCUGAGCACGAAGCUGCCCGGCGUAUGCCCGCGCGAGCACGAUAGGAAAGGGCUCGUCGUGAACGCCGGCCACGUCGCCGCAGGGACCCUGAAGACGCUCACCCCGUCGGAUCUGGCCGCGCUGAGCGGCCUCGGGUUCAGCGCGAUGCUCGGGCGGCUCGAGCCCGGUGCCGCGAGGCCACCGUGAGUGCUCCGCGAAGGAGCGGCGCAUGCGGUGUACGUGGCACGCGGGAGCGCGCGCGUCCAGGUCUCGUCUGCCGCGGGCGGCGACACGCUGCUGCUGGACGAGGAGGUCCCCGCGGGGAGCUUGUUCGUUGUGCCACGGUUCGCCGUUGCGCUCGUCGCCGCCGGCGCUGAUGGUGCGGAGUGGGUCUCGCUGAUCAAGAGCGGCAGGCCGGCGGUGGAGCACCUGACCGGGGAGGGCUUGAUUUUCGGCGGCCUGACUCCACAGGUGGUGCAGGCAUCGCUGAAAGUGGCGCCAGAGCUGUUGAAGCUGCUCUGA
rnacentral:rRNA from 1 species